rnacentral:lncRNA from 1 species
UAAAAACAAAUAGAAACACACAUAAAAUAGCUUCACAAUUUCCUCAAGACACAAAUACAAUAAAAUUCACAUCAUUUUACAAACCAUGAGAGAGUUCCAAGGAUCGUCUACUUUAUAUGUCAGCUUUUGCAGCGUAAUUUAGUGAUCUCUCACAAAAAUCAUUAUCUUGGUGAGUUUCCAUAAUACGGGGAAUGUUCCUUAUGCUUCAAACUCAAGACUUUCACCUCUUCCUUAUGAACCUGUAGAGUUAUAUGGUGCUCCGAUUGAUAUUCCUCUUAAUUCGGCUGCGAAAAAUGGAAUUGCUUACUAAUUCACACACCCACUAAAUAAGAUAAAUAAAGUUAUUAGUAACUAUCCAUUAAGACAUUAAAAAAAUGGGGUAGCUAUUCAAGAAUAAAAUUAUAUACAAUAGAUAUAAUUUUGUAUAUGAUUGUCAGAGAAACAAUGCCUAACACAUUGAGGCUCUUGAUUAAGCUUCAAAGAUAAAGAUUAAAGACAAAGAUAGCAAAUUAAAGAGUUUGAAAUGCUUUGCUAUGUAGUUAUUGGUUAUCCAACUAAAAGAGAAAGGUAAACUUCUCUUUUCAUUGUGUUAUUUUAGCAAAUAUGUGAUACACACAACUUCUAAAUAAUAUGAAAUCAAACUUGGUAACCUACAAUUAACAAAUAAAAUUUUUAAUUAGAUAACUUUGUAUUAAUCAAACACACUAUGCCAAAAAAAGCUUUUGAAGCCAGUAACUCGUUGAUCAAUCAUUGGUCACUAUCCCUCAUCUUACUCUGUUUCAUUAAAAUCUUUGAAGUUUAUGAGGUGCCAUUAAGCUUCUUCAGUUCAAUCAAAAAUUCAUUAUUAUUCAAUUCAAUCAAAAAUUCAUUAGGCAACAUACAAUUCAAACUAUUCAUGAAAGUAAUUAUUAAUUAAAAAAUAAUAACUACCUUUUAUCAUACUCCAUUCAUUCUAACUAUAAAAUCAAUUACCUUUGGAAUGAGGUAAUAUAAAAGCAUCUAAAUCGUCAUCAAAUACAGUCUCUUUAUCAAGCUGACACAUCACAUUCUUUUGUUGAGAACUACCUACAAAGCUCAAUAAAACCAAAACCAUUAACAAAAACUUUUUGUGAGAAUCCAUCCAACUCUUUUGUUGUAACUGCCCACAAAAUUUCAACCUUUAAAAUAUUUCAUGAGCAUUUAUAAAAUAUAUUUGAUGCAACAUAUUGCAAAUGUAAAGUAUACAUAUAACUAUUGUGAUCAAACAUAUGGAAUGUAAAAAAUAAAAUGAGUCAAAUACAAAAAUACAUAAGAUAUGAGUCAAAUAAAAUACAGAAGAUAUGAGACUACCAAAUAUAAAUAGCAAAACCCUUGAUCAAUUUAAGCCAAUUUUGUUCAAUCUCGCUGAAUUAAUUACCGAGUUGGUCUAACCUUGUGUAUUUAGCACAAUAAAUAUAUAUAUUACAAACACCUACUCAAGAACAAAACUGAAGCCCAAGUAAAAUCAAAUGAAUGGUUAAAACCAUAAUGAAAGCUGUGACACUGUUGACUUUGACUUUUUUCUCCUAGCAAGUUGACAAAAAUCUGAUUUGACAUUGUGUUAGUAAGUUUGGAUGGAAACUUUGAAAGUGAGGCAAAGUGACCUUUCAAUUACUGAGGAAGAGAAAUUUGAAAGAGGGGGGUGAUAAUAGCUUUUGUUCAUGAGUUAAGGAGAGAAAGUGGGGGUUAUUUUCCACCCAUUUCUCUCAUGUUGAAAGAGAAACCAACAAAUAAGAGUUUUGGGAAUAAAACAAUUAACAUCCUCCAAAAUACUUUAUUUUCCACCCUUUUUAAAAAGCACAAAUACUUUGUGAGAUCAUAGAUGAACUUAUAGAACCUCAGAAGAUACAAAAAGGCCAUAAACAGAAGACAAUUAUAGAGCACAACUCCUUUUAUAAUUGCAAUAGAAUGCUUAAUAUAUCAAAUAAAAUAAAUAGUAAAAGCUCUAUCUUAGAAGGUCAAAUAACAUGACCAAGUUUCUAAAUGUUGUCAAAUUUGAGAAAAAAUACAUCAGAUUACUCCUAGUAAGAUUCUGGAUAUACUUACAAUUUGCCGACUCCUCAUCCUCAUCGCACCAUUUGUUCCAAUCAACCUCAAGGUAUGGAGCAAUAAAUCAUUCAAUACAUUCAGAACAGAUAAUCCAAAUAUGAGAACAGACCGAUUGUAAACCAAAUUUCAUUCAAUUGUUAUGUUCUUUAUGGAUUAAACAAUCGUUCAACAAAGGAAUUGCUUCAAAAAACUAAAUACAUACUUAACAAACAACAAAUAAUUUUAACAAAGUAAUCACCACAUCAACCAGAAUGAAUUCAUACGUGAUAACUCGAUCAAAUAAUCGAAGAGAUCUGAGAAAAUAACUUGAGAUCACCAAAUAACUACUGUUCAAUUACAAAAUAGUCCCAUCAUCAGCCAAACUUGAAGGAAUUCAUAAAAUACUACUGAAAACAAUCAGACAGAUGGGAAACAGUUUCAAAUCAUCAAAAUUGCUAGGGUUUCAGUACAUGUGGAUCAAUAACAUUCAACAUUGAUCAAAUCCACAAUUAUAUAAACGCAUAAGCACCACAUAAAUCGUAAAAGUGAAGAAAACAAAAGAAUGAUGAUCAUAUAUAUAC